CAUGUACUCCCUCCGUCCCAAAAUUCUUGUCUUAGUUUUGUCUAGAUACAGAUGUAUCUAAUACUAAAAUGUAAUUAGAUACAUUCGUAUUUGGACAAAUCUAAGACAAAAUUUUUGGGACAGAGGGAGUAUAUC
rnacentral:pre_miRNA from 1 species